rnacentral:rRNA from 1 species
CCUAGGGGGAGCAGCAGUGGGGAAUAUUGGACAAUGGGCGAAAGCCUGAUCCAGCCAUGCCGCGUGUGUGAAGAAGGCCUUCGGGUUGUAAAGCACUUUCAGUGGGGAAGAAAGCCUUGGGGCUAAUACCCUCGAGGAAGGACAUCACCCACAGAAGAAGCACCGGCUAACUCCGUGCCAGCAGCCGCGGUAAUACGGAGGGUGCGAGCGUUAAUCGGAAUUACUGGGCGUAAAGCGCGCGUAGGCGGUCUGAUAAGCCGGUUGUGAAAGCCCCGGGCUCAACCUGGGAACGGCAUCCGGAACUGUCAGGCUAGAGUGCAGGAGAGGAAGGUAGAAUUCCCGGUGUAGCGGUGAAAUGCGUAGAGAUCGGGAGGAAUACCAGUGGCGAAGGCGGCCUUCUGGACUGACACUGACGCUGAGGUGCGAAAGCGUGGGUAGCAAACAGGAUUAGAUACCCGGGUAGUC